rnacentral:rRNA from 1 species
ACAGUCACACGUAGUUUGAUCAUGGCUCAGAUUGAACGCUGGCGGCAUGCUUUACACAUGCAAGUCGAACGGCAGCGGGUCCGUUCGGGAUGCCGGCGAGUGGCGAACGGGUGAGUAAUGCAUCGGAACGUACCGUGUAAGUGGGGGAUAACGUAGCGAAAGUUACGCUAAUACCGCAUACGCCCUGAGGGGAAAGCGGGGGAUCGCAAGACCUCGCGUUAUACGAGCGGCCGAUGUCGGAUUAGCUAGUUGGUGGGGUAAAGGCCCACCAAGGCGACGAUCCGUAGCGGGUCUGAGAGGAUGAUCCGCCACACUGGGACUGAGACACGGCCCAGACUCCUACGGGAGGCAGCAGUGGGGAAUUUUGGACAAUGGGCGAAAGCCUGAUCCAGCCAUUCCGCGUGCAGGAUGAAGGCCCUCGGGUUGUAAACUGCUUUUGUACGGAACGAAACGGCCUUUUCUAAUACAGAGGGCUAAUGACGGUACCGUAAGAAUAAGCACCGGCUAACUACGUG